GACUCAGGCCGGAUCAGCCUGAAGGCGCCCGAUCUGGUCUGAUCUCGGAAGCUAAGCAGGGUCGGGCCUGGGUUAGUAUCUUGGAUGGGGAGACCACCGUGGGAAUCCCGGGUGCUCGAGGCU
rnacentral:rRNA from 1 species